rnacentral:misc_RNA from 1 species
UUGUCUAAUGUGUUCUUAGAUAGAAGAAGUAGCCAAUUGUGCCUAGGGAGUAGUUACUUUGUUAGCAAAAGGAUGAAUCAAGGCCUAUAAUUUUCAAAGCUGCCAGGAGGACAUCUUUUCUCGAGUCUCAAUCAUUUUUAUUUCCAAAUAUCCUUAUUUGUGUCUUAGAUGAAUGUUAAUUAUCUUGGUGAUUUUAAACAAUAGAUACUAAAGUGUCAAAUGCAGAAUUUUGGAGGGACUUCGUAAAAGUCCUAAGAGUGAAAGAUUAUUGUUUUGUUCAAAUUUUGUUGUGAUGUUGAUUUCUAUUAAUUGUUUGGUAUCUUUAAUUUUGUCCCAAAGCUUCAAGUCUAUUGUUUCCUAAAACAAGUGUUUCAAGAUGAAUAGAAUGUAUAAUUCAUGGGUUUUUAUUUAUGGCUUCUCAUGUGGUUAUAAGCAGGCUUGCAAAUGAAGU